UACGAAGGGGGGCUAGCGUUGCUCGGAAUGACUGGGCGUAAAGGGCGCGUAGGCGGCUUGCACCGUCAGAUGUGAAAUUCCUGGGCUUAACCUGGGGGCUGCAUUUGAUACGUGUGGGCUUGAGUGCGGAAGAGGGUCGUGGAAUUCCCAGUGUAGAGGUGAAAUUCGUAGAUAUUGGGAAGAACACCGGUGGCGAAGGCGGCGACCUGGUCCGUGACUGACGGCUGAGGCGCGAAAGCGUGGGGAGCAAACAGG
rnacentral:rRNA from 1 species